AUACGUAGGGGGCGAGCGUUGUCCGGAAUGAUUGGGCGUAAAGGGCGCGUAGGCGGCCCGGUAAGUCUGGAGUGAAAGUCCUGUUUUUAAGAUGGGAAUUGCUUUGGAUACUGUCGGGCUUGAGUGCAGGAGAGGUAAGUGGAAUUCACAGUGUAGCGGUGAAAUGCGUAGAGAUUGGGAGGAACACCAGUGGCGAAGGCGACUUACUGGACUGUAACUGACGCUGAGGCGCGAAAGUGUGGGGAGCAAACAGGAUUAGAUACCCUGGUAGUCCACACUGUAAACGAUGAAUGCUAGGUGUAGGGGGUAUCGACCCCUUCUGUGCCGCAGUCAACACAAUAAGCAUUCCGCCUGGGGAGUACGGCCGCAAGGUUGAAACUCAAAUGAAUUGGCGGGG
rnacentral:rRNA from 1 species